rnacentral:lncRNA from 1 species
GUGUACGCAGAGAAUCGACUAUAGACUCAAUUUAAUUUAAUGGGUUUUCUAUUUUAUUAAAAUAUGGAUUUGAUUUUUAUAUACAUCCAUAUAACUAUAAGCAUAUACUUGCAUUUGUCGAGAGUAUUUUUUAAUUAUCCAAUGAUGAACAAAAUACCUAAAAUCAAUUCUCACACUUAAAUCCCCACCAGUGGAGAUUGUAGGUUGGGAAUAAUAAAUCACCAUCCUCCUUUUGAUGUAUUGAACCUUCCAUGAAAAAAGACAUAUGAACAAUACUUUACUAAAUAUUUACAUAAGUCAUUAAAUUAAUUGAAGUGGUAACUCUCAAUUGUGGUACGCAACUUAAACAAGUUGGAAUGAAUUCCAUAUUUCAACAUAGAAAUAUUAAGUGUUAAGUAAAUCUCAUCUCUAUAAAUUGGAUCGUGGUUUCAUAUCAUAAUAUUGCAACAAAGAAAUAUUAAGUGUUAAAUUAAAUCUCUAAAAGAAUGGCAAAGUUUGCUUAUGUAAUGUUCUUAGUUGUUAUGCUUUUUCUUGGACAUAGCAGCACUAUUGAGGGUGCAAGAAAAGGUAUACAUACAUUUAAUUUUUUUUCUUCAUAUGUAUUUAUAAAUUCUAAUACAUUGUUUGUUGUGUUUCUAGUUUUUAAUGAUGGUGGGAAUCCUGAUUACUGUGUAAUUCCUCCCUGUUGUGUAAAACCUCCAUUCUGUAAACCAACUCCUCCUGUACUCCCAACUCAUGAUGAUGCUAAAACUGUUGAUCCGGCUCCUAUUCCUCAUCGUCAGUAGGAUUCUAUCGUGUCUGCCAUCCGUUUAAUUUGAAGGAAAGAAAGGGAGAAGGAAGAAAAACACGGAAACUAAAGAAUGAAUUUAAACUAAAUUUUAGUCCAAGUUCAGUAUUCAAUUUUUGUGUUAUCUUCCUUUCCACUUUCUUUCGUUUCAAUCAAACGAACUCUAAAUAAAAUUAUUGAAACUUAACUAUUCGUAUCAAUGCACCGGGCAGACAGAUUAUUAUUUAAUUAUUUCUCAAAUCAAGUAUGUACUUCAUAUUGUAAAACAAUAAUCAUCAUAUGUACAAAAAAAAAAAACAAUAAUCAUCAUAAAUAAAUGAGAAAUAUG